GUGAAAUUGUUGAAAGGGAAGCGCUUGCAGCCAGACUUGCCUGUAGUUGCUCAUCCGGGCUUUUGCCCGGUGCAUUCUUCUGUAGGCAGGCCAGCAUCAGUUUGGGCGGUUGGAUAAAGGUCUCUGUCACGUACCUCCUCUCGGGGAGGCCUUAUAGGGGAGACGACAUGCAACCAGCCUGGACUGAGGUCCGCGCAACUGCUAGGAUGCUGGCGUAAUGGCUGUAAGCGGCCCGUCUUGAAACACGGACCAAGGAGUC
rnacentral:rRNA from 1 species